UCAGAGCCCGCGGUUAACCUCGUUUUUAUGCCUGGCCCAUCCAGAACAGUAUUCCCAGAGGGGCCCCUGGACUGGAUGUUGGAGCUGGUGCUAACUUACCUGUGUGACUAGCAGCGCGCUGAGCAGCAGCCAAAGCGCCGCCAUACUCGCGCCGGAGCCGUUGGCUGUAAAAACAAAAUUAAAAGCGACCCCGACCUGAUUGAUCUGAGCACCGCGCAUUAAACUUUAAAAUGAAGCUGCUUUUUUCACGGAAAAGGUUUCGCCAAUCGCUUCAAAUGAAAUAGUGAGAAUGAGUGUUCGAAACAAGUUUUUCUGCGAUACUCAUAUGUGUGAACACCAAUUGUAGGUAUCGAAAAAAUAUAAAAUAAAUGCCAAUAAUAAAUUGGCGCGCUAUAUAA